rnacentral:rRNA from 1 species
CAGUAGCCGCGGGAACACGGAGGGUGCAAGCGUUAUCCGGAUUUAUUGGGUUUAAAGGGUCCGUAGGCGGAUCUGUAAGUCAGUGGUGAAAUCUCACAGCUUAACUGUGAAACUGCCAUUGAUACUGCAGGUCUUGAGUAAAUUUGAAGUGGCUGGAAUAAGUAGUGUAGCGGUGAAAUGCAUAGAUAUUACUUAGAACACCAAUUGCGAAGGCAGGUCACUAAGAUUUAACUGACGCUGAUGGACGAAAGCGUGGGGAGCGAACAGGAUUAGAUACCCCAUAGUCCCUGUCUCUUAUACA